CUUCCUAGUAGCAUGGUUACUUUCCUUGUAGCUUGGCUAACUUUGUGGUAGCUUAGCUAACUUUGUGGUAGCCAGACUAACUUCCUGGUAGCUUGGCUAACUUUCUGGCAGCCGGGCUAACUUCUUAGUAGCAUGGCUAACUUCUGUUUGGUUCUGUGAACUUUUCUGUCAUGAAGUUGCUUUCUGAUUUUUUUGUAUACAUUUGGUAGUUUUUUGAUCCUGCAGCAUUUUUAUGUUGUUUGCGUAUGUAUCAUUUAUGCGCGUUUGUCCUCGUCGCGUACCAUAAGACACAACACUUUAUCGCCAUAGCAGCUCUCGCUUUUCGCUGGCUUUACCUGGACAAUUAGGUACAUCGCAGACGAAGGACGUAGACCCCGCCCCUCUGCCACAGGCCAGACACAUGUCUGAUGACGAGGCCAGCAGGUCAGACAGCCAAACAUCCAGACGCGACGAGGACUCACCUCAGCAACAGCGCACUAAGAUGGCGGCGUAGCUGCUCUCCAUGCGCCCGCUUCUUGGGCCUCACCCUCACUAGCGCCCUUCCCGCCGCCCUUCUUUCGUCCAUGAUCAGCUGGCGCAGGAAUUUGACACGCUCCUGUAAAAACAGGAAUGAAUACCAACGCUGAUCAGGAACCGAGUCCAGAACCAGCAGGUGUCAAACGAGCGUGUACAUACCAGCUCGGUCUCAGGAUAGAGAUAAGCGCACAUGAGUCGUCGGGCGCGCUGCACAGGUCCUCCGACGAGCGACACCAGCAGGGCCAGACCUAGAAGGAAGCCUGAGACCAAAACGGCGGCGUAUCACAACUGGACCAUGGCACCACGCUGAUGUAACGUCCUGCGGCGCCCCUACCUAAGGACGUUGAAGGACGCCACCACGUCCCGCAUGAUGUCCGCCAUGUAACCCGACCCGUUAACCUGCACCGCCACGGUGACCGGAGCUGUGGGGCAGAGGGACACGGUCGCUGUGGUUAUCUCGGUUGCGAAAGCGCCGACGGCCGUCACUCACCUUGACCCAGGAUGUCGCUCUGGACCUGGCGGUGAACCUGGUCCAGGAGCCAGAAGACCAGGAAGUCCAGCGCCACCAGCAGGCCGGCCGCCAACGCGUGCCUCAGCACCCAGGCCCCGCCCACCAGGGCCACCCGCC